rnacentral:lncRNA from 1 species
UUAUUUUCCAAGCUUUUGCUUGAGGAUUUUAAUUAAGAUCAACUUACAUUUAAGCCAUGCUAUCAUCUAUCUUUAUGAUUAUCACGAAUUUAUUCAUUAUACGCAAAGGAGGCACCAUACAAAGCUCAAUCUCUUUCAAGGCCAAUGGAGUAAUCUCUUUCAAGGCCAAUGGAGUAAUCUCUUUCAAGGCCAAUGGAGUAUGCUAGGACCUCUCAAUUUUACAAGCUUAGAUCUCAA